rnacentral:rRNA from 1 species
UACGGAGGGUGCAAGCGUUAUCCGGAUUCACUGGGUUUAAAGGGUGCGUAGGUGGGAAUGUAAGUCAGUGGUGAAAUCUCCGUGCUUAACACGGAAACUGCCAUUGAUACUAUGUUUCUUGAAUUUUCCGGAGGUCAGCGGAAUAUGUCAUGUAGCGGUGAAAUGCUUAGAUAUGACAUAGAACACCAAUUGCGAAGGCAGCUGACUACAGGGACAUUGACACUGAGGCACGAAAGCGUGGGGAUCAAACAGG